rnacentral:rRNA from 1 species
GACGAACGCUGGCGGCGUGCUUAACACAUGCAAGUCGAACGGAAAGGCCCUGCGUUUGUGGGGUACUCGAGUGGCGAACGGGUGAGUAACACGUGAGUAACCUGCCCUUGACUUUGGGAUAACUUCAGGAAACAGGGGCUAAUACCGGAUAGGAGCUCCUGCUGCAUGGAGGGGGUUGGAAAGAUUCGGCGGUUGGGGAUGGCCUCGCGGCUUAUCAGCUUGUUGGUGGGGUAGUGGCUUACCAAGGCUUUGACGGGUAGCCGGCCUGAGAGGGUGGCCGGCCUCAUUGGGCCUGGGAUACGGCCCAGACUCCUACGGGUGGCAGUAGUGGGAACUAUUGCACACUGGGCCGAAGCCUGAUGAAGCAACGCCGCGUCCGGGAUGAAGGCCUUCGGGUUGUAAACCGCUUUCGCCUGUGACGAAGCGUGAGUGACGGUAAUGGGUAAAGAAGCACCGGCUAACUACGUG